AGCUCCAAUAGCGUAUAUUAAAGCUGUUGCGGUUAAAAAGCUCGUAGUUGGAUUUCUGCCGAGGACAACUGGUCCGCCCAUUGGGUGAGCACAUAGUUUGGUCUCGACAUCUUGCUGGAAACUGUUACUGUACUUGGCUGUACGGUACAGAGUCCAGCACUUUCACUUUGAGGAAAUUGGAGUGUUUCAAGCAGGCACAUGCCUUUGGACACAGUAGCAUGGAAUAAUUAGAUUGGGCUUUUGCUCCAACUUGUCGGUUUCUGGAGCUGAGGUGAGAAUUAAUGGGGAUUGUUGGGGGCAUCCGAAUUUAGCCGUCAGAGGUGAAAUUCUUGGAUCUGCUAAAGACGGACAACUGCGAAAGCGUUUGCCCAGGAUGUUUUCA
rnacentral:rRNA from 1 species